CCAUUGCCAUCCACUGCAGC
rnacentral:snRNA from 1 species